rnacentral:pre_miRNA from 1 species
CUUAUACUCCCUCCGUCCCAAAAUUCUUGUCUUAGAUUUGUCUAAAUACGGAUGUAUCAAGUCACGUUUUAGUAUUAGAUACAUCCGUAUCUAGACAAAUCUAAGACAAGAAUUUUAGGACGGAGGGAGUAUUAG